CAGUAGCCGCGGUAAUACGGAGGAUCCAAGCGUUAUCCGGAAUCAUUGGGUUUAAAGGGUCCGUAGGCGGUCUUGUAAGACAGUGGUGAAAGCCCAUCGCUCAACGGUGGAACGGCCAUUGAUACUGCAGGACUUGAAUUAUUGGGAAGUAACUAGAAUAUGUAGUGUAGCGGUGAAAUGCUUAGAGAUUACAUGGAAUACCAAUUGCGAAGGCAGGUUACUACCAAUUGAUUGACGCUGAUGGACGAAAGCGUGGGUAGCGAACAGGAUUAGAUACCCGAGUAGUCCCUGUCUCUUAUAA
rnacentral:rRNA from 1 species